GGAGCUUUGCUCUGUAGGCCAGCAAACAAUAUUACAGCUGCAUACCUAUACAUAACCAUUUAAAAGCAAGAAAACUAACUUUGGAUGCCACUGGUUGGUGAAACAAUUGACUUAAAAUUCUUCAUAAUGUUACAAGUCUCAUAUAUGAAGGCCCUUUUAGUGCCACAGCUUUCAGAAGGCAGCUUUCCUAUCACUGUCGUCACAAUAUGGCCUACCAAGUUGCCAACUUACUCAGCAUCAAUCAUGUACUCCCCAUCAUGGUACUCACUGCAAGUGACAGUUUAGCAGUAAAAAGAUUUCCUAGCACUUGCAAGACAGGGGCAGAAGGGUCUCUGAGUUCCAGGGCAGCCUAGCCCCAGCUUGCAUAAAUCAGGAGAGCAGUUAUGUGUACCACAGUGAUCUAUCACUGACAGUCCCCAAAGCUACUUACCCUAUUAUACACAACCUAACAGUCACCUUUUGUCCACAUGUCCUUGUGUUUAACACUUCUACGUCCUAUAUGUCUUUUACCUGCUUUAGCAGUGUCAUGGCUUUUGCUGUUCUCUUGGACGGAUGGUUGGUGACAACCGAAUGGGUCAUGUGCCACUGGGCUCCCCAGGUAACUUUGUUCUCUGCUUACUGAGACCCUUAAUGGGUCUCGGUCUCGAUAAAACUCUGCUUUUCCUGGGUAGAAAAGAAAAAAACAAACAAAAACCCAGGUCAUUAAAUUUCCAGUUGCUAAAAUGGCCAUUUGUUU
rnacentral:lncRNA from 1 species